ensembl:lncRNA
CGAUGUAAUGCCCGAGACCGAGGCUGUUCCGGAGGUCGAGGCGGUGCCCGAUGUUGUUCCCGAUGCCAAGGCGGUGACCGAUGCCGUUCCUGAGACCGUUCCUGAGACCGUUCCCGAGGCGGUGCCCGAUGCCGAGGUCGUUCCCGAGGCGGUGUCCUUGUCCGAUGCCGUUCCUGAGGCCAUUCCCGAGGCGGUGCCCGAUGCCGAGGUCGUUCCCGAGGCGGUGUCCUUGUCCGAUGCCGUUCCCGAGGCCAUUCCCGAGGCGGUGCCCGAUGCCGAGGUCGUUCCCGAGGCGGUGUCCUUGUCCGAUGCCGUUCCUGAGGCCAUUCCCGAGGCGGUGCCCGAUGCUGUUCCGGGAGGCCGAUGCGGGGCCCGAGAUGGUUCCGGAGGCGAUACCCGUGUCCAAGGCCGUUCCCGAGGCGGUGCCCUUGUCUGAGGCCGUUCCCGAUGCCGUUCCCAAGGCCGUGACCGGGCCAUCGCCACAGCCUGCUCCUUACUGGCUCCCCGAUUGGCUGGUUCCGUUCGGGUCACUCAAAUGGCGAAUUCCUCCC